rnacentral:rRNA from 1 species
AGGACGAACGCUGGCGGCGUGCUUAACACAUGCAAGUCGAACGAUGACCUCCAGCUUGCUGGGUGAUUAGUGGCGAACGGGUGAGUAACACGUGAGUAACCUGCCCUCCACUCUGGGAUAAGCACUGGAAACGGUGUCUAAUACCGGAUACGAGCUUCCGCCGCAUGGGUGAGGAGCUGGAAAGAAUUUUGGUGGGGGAUGGACUCGCGGCCUAUCAGGUAGUUGGUGAGUAAUGGCUCACAAGCCGACGACGGGUAGCCGGCCUGAGAGGGUGACCGGCCACACUGGGACUGAGACACGGCCCAGACUCCUACGGGAGGCAGGCAGUGGGAAUAUUGGCACAAGUGGGACGAAAGCCUAGGACUGCAGCAACGCCGCGUGAGGGACGACGGCCUUCGGUU